GGGGAGGGACGGAGGGAGGGAUGGAAGGAUGGAGGUUGGGGGGGGGUUGCAGGGGGAGAGCAUCCUUAGCCGCGGGCCACCGGGAAGUUGGCCCCGCUCCGUGGAGCGCUGCUGCGGCACCCGGGGGGGGCUCCUGGCCAGCCCCUGCUCAGGGCGCGCACGGAGGUCCCCUGGGGGUCUCCCGCCCGCGCCGUGGGCUGCCCCCCUCCCGGCUCCCCCUCCCGCAGCAGGGACCCCCCCGGCCCGGCAGCCCCGUGCGCAGGAUGGGACCCGCUGAGACACGAGCAAGGCGCUGGGAGCCCGGCGGUGGCCGUACAGCUCCAGAAGAGUGCAUCAGUUGGAAUAAAAGCGUUAUCCUAAGUUCACUUUCCAGCCAAGCUGCUUGAAGGCAGCCCCCCGCAGACGCUGUUUAAGCAGGUUCCUGAGUGCUCUCCCCUCUUAGGCAGGCACAAAGAGGAGAGGCUCUGAAAGCAGCUGGAUUUCAGCAUCCCACUUUGCUUCUCUUCCCCUGGAUGUGCUGGAGACACGCUCAGCCCCUCUGUCAGUCCCAAGGACCAUGACACUGCACAAGCUGCAUCGCGGUGCCAUCCCAUGGCCCCAGCUGCCAGCAGCACAUUGUGAUGCCCGAAACAACCAGCCCAGCCUUCCCCCGUGUGCUCACACACCAGCACGGCAUGGCGUGUCCAUCGGUGGAGAUUCGGCCUCAUUAAACCCCUCUGCCACUCGUCUUUUGCAGGCAGGCUUUUUAUCAGGCUUUAAUUAAAAAUGUGCCAGGCUUGGACUCCCCCUCCUACCAUGGUUGUGGCAAAUCUAAGAUCAUCAGACCAGACCCCUGCUUUCCCCAGAGAGCCACAAAAUACAGCUCCACUGUUCCCAGCGUGAUUGGAGCCACAGCAUCCCAUGGCCUGUAAGUUAAUGCAGUCCGCAGGCAUCUGGCUUUAUUGCAGGGACCAUUGCUCGGGAAGGUUUUUAGGGACAAAACUCAGAUCCGGGGCUCAGAUGGCUCCUCACCCAUCUCCGGCGGGGGAGCAUCACCCCGUGGUCUUGCCAUGAGACCAAAUCCCCGCUGCUGGGUUUUGCAGCGGAGAUGCUGCACUGUGAUGUCCUCCCCGAUCCCCCCUGCGAGGCUCAAUUAAAGCAGCACCGCAGAAACUUUGCAGCUUCUGGAGCAGCGAGGGCUGGGAAGGGACCGGGGCUGCAGGUUCGUGGAGGCAGACAUCCCACUGAACUGGACAGACAUCUCACUCAUCCACCGUCCUGCUAACCCAGCUUCCCGGCGAGGAAUUAUACCCGACGUUGGCUUUUCACACCGCUCAGUGACAUUCGUCUCCCUUUGCCACCACUGGUAACCAUCUGGGCUCUGCCCAGCCCAGGAGAAAUUAAUGCUUUUGAGCAACAUUCGAUUUCUGAUCCCGGGCUGUACCUGUGCCAGGCGGAGCCAGGCAAGGAGACAGGGAUGGGAGCGGUGAGAGCUCAAAAGCAGAUUCCCAAUUCCAGGUCACCCAGUGACACCCCAAGUGUCGGUAACGCCACCAGCACCAGCGAAGGUGCUGGAGGCGGGCGCAGGGGACGCAGGGGAGGUGGGUGCUGCUGUUGUCCUGUCGCCUCCCACUUCUUCUUGCAGAAAGUGGGAAAACGCCCGAAGGAGCGGAGACAAGAGGAGAAAAUAGCCCACUGGGGGCAAAGAAGCACCAGGAAUAGAGAGGGGUGACCUCGGCGAGGUGGUUCUGGAGCAGAGCUUGCCGUGGGACAGGAGAUGUGUGGGACCUGGGGCUUGGAGCACUUUUCCUGAUGCUCUGGGAGAGGGCAGGCAGCGCUCUCCCUGUUGCGGACACUGGAUGGGGAGGAACAACAGAAGGCAACGUGAAAAAGGAUCUACAUCACUGCCUCUUUUCUGAGAGAGGGAAAAAAAAUAGAUCUCAUGGUAAUUGGGCACCUCCCUCCCGAUCUGGGGGGAAGGAGGGGAAUCUGAACGUGCCUUUUUUCAGGCUCUGGUGGCUGCUGCUCCUGGCAGAGCCUCCUCUGCUCCCUGCUGCCUCGUUUGGGGACCGGGUCUGGGCACAGGAACCAUGUGGACGGGGGAAGGAGGAGACAGCGACUGAUCACAGCCAGGAUCUUAGAUCAGAGAGAAGGAAUGUUGUUGUGGAGAGGCUGAGCGCUGGGGUGGGAUGACUCAUGCUGGAGAACAUACAGCUGUUGGAGCGGGACUUGGCACCGCGCGCUGAGGCUGCGGAGCCUUCCCCGACAGAGGGAAGGGGAGGAGAGGAGCCCCCGCCCCGCAUCCCUCCCUGACCCCCUGCUGGAGGUGGUGGGGAGGCCGCUGCUGUGUGCUGGAGCUGGGCCACAGCCCGGCUCUGCCCAGCCCCAGCACCGGUCCCACUGCAGAGCCCGGGGCUCAGCCACGAGAACGCACCGGGCACGAAGCAGACAUCCCUCUCCCUUCCCCGUCAGUGGGGAAACUGAGGCACAGAGCGGGGACCUGACGGGUUUCCCACAGGACAGCUGAGGAGGUUAUAAAGGCUCGUGGUGGCUGUUGCUCGCUGCUGUAUCCCUGGGCUGUGGCUGCGCUCGCCUCGCUCCGGGAAGAAAGUUUCAUGGCUGGAAGCAGUCUCUGUAGGAGAAGCCGGACAGUCUUCUGCUCCUGGCUCAGGAGCUGGCAUCUGUGGGGUGCGAGAGCCUCGAUCUGCCUUGUGCCCAGGAACCUGCACAGCCCCUCGCCAGGCGGUGAUGCUGACAGCGGCUUCCCCGACAGGCACAGGAUUGCUGCAGGGAGAAGGGGAAGAGCCUGCUCUCCGCAUCCACCAAAGCCUGCGGACUUGCACUACCAUGGAGGAGAUUUGGGCAAGGCAUCACGAGAACCACCAAGGCAAGGGGAUGAGCCAGUGUCUUCCCAAAGUCCCUCCCAGACGUAUUUUUGGCACACGCCUGGAGAUAGCCAGCGCGCCAGAUUCCCAGCGCGCUGGGACAAAAAACUUCAGAGUCAGCUUCAGAGGUGGCCCCGUUUUGGCGGGGAGGGAAGUGGCUGUAAACACAAACAGGCUCGUGAUUAAUCGUGCUCUGCUCUCGGUGAAUGUGGAGUCAUUAGCUUCAUGUCCCUGGAAAAGUAAUUAUCUCCAGUUUGUCAAUGAGAACUUGGAAAAACCUGAAGCCUCGAGCUCUGGAAAUGCCAUCCGCUUCCACAUACAAGAAAACCUGCAUAUUUUUGUAGGUUAAUAAAAGGUAACCAAAUUUACAAAAUGAAUAGAUUUAAUACAUUACCAAAGCUUUAAGGGUAAAUGACUUAUCUUCCCAGGGAUUUAUAAUCCUGUUUUGCAGACUUUGCCUUAUGCUGUAUUUUAUUCUCACAUCCAGCGGUACUAGCGCAGGAGACAAGGUGGAGCGCACGACAUUCCUGCUCUGAUUUAUGGGCUCCCUCCUCCACUGCCAUGUAAAGCAAUCCUUCCCCGCAUGACCGGGCCCGCGGGUCGCAGAGCUCCAUCCUGCUCACAGUUUCGGGAAUUAUUCCUUCCUCCCAGAUAACCAAACAGAAACCUCUUCCAGUCAAGGGGAAUAUCAGGGCGGUAACUUGGGGCCAAAAGGAGAAGUUUUGUGCAAAUGGAGGGCCACAAAAACACAGCCAUGUGAGCACGCCUGGCCGAAAAUAUUUCUGAAAGAGAACAUUUACAUUCCUGGAGUCCCAGCACAGGGGGGGUGGGGAACCCAGCAGCACCUCAACAUUUCGCUCCCAGCUCCAGCACCACUGCAUCAGCACGAGCUGGGGGAGGAAAUCUGUGCCGGGGCUGUUCCUAAUUGCACCCGGUGCCUGCAGAAGGCAGAACUUGCACUGCACAUCACCACCCUGCAGAAGGAAGCGGGAAGAGGCGAGUGCCAGUGCUCGCUCCUGGUGUGAAUGUAGCCGUGUGCUGCCUGGGGUGGGUCAGCGCCCUGGUUUGGAGCAGCCAGCGAUGCUCAGGAGAGGGGGCUUUGCUCUGGAGGCACGCAUCCGCCUGUCGCUUUGUUUGUUUGCUCACACCAGGGACCAAGGAAGGGAUCCUGAUGGAGGAGAGGAGAGCCUAGAAAGAAUUAUCCCCAAACGCACCAAGUGCCUUCCCAUCCCAAAAGGCUCAGCAGAGCAGCCGGAGGUUUCUCAGAAGUGCCGUCAAACUUCUCAGCACAAACUCAUCAGUGUUUUGGUUUGGCAUUUAGGUUCUGCUCUAAAUUGCCCAGCAUUAGUGCUUGCUAAUGUUGAAGUAACAAAAAUAAAAGCUGAAGUGAAGUGCUUCAGCUAAAGCUGGGAUGGAAUAUUUCACAGAAAUGCAAUAUUCGGAGAUUGCCUUUUCAUUUCGAAAUGAGCCAUAACAGUUCCAGCUCCACACGGCCCUUGUGGGAAGACAAAUCUCAUUUCCAUCCACCUCUUCCUCCUUCCUCAGGCACUGCGGGGGCCGGCCCCGAUCCCCGCAUCGUGGGCAGCUGCUGAAGGCUGAGGACGUGGCAAUGCCCUGGGCGAUGCUGCUGCAGGAGCCCUGGACGUGUCAGCACUCGGGCUGGGCACAGCACGUCAAUGAAGGAUGCUGCCCUCAGCCCCGGCCAUCCCACAGACGUGCCCUGGCUGGGGUGUGCCCAGGAGACCCCAAAAUCAUCCAGUGCAAUGGCCACAGCCUUCUCCUAUAUGUUAUGGCUAGUUAUCGCGGGUAGGUUGAAGUAGGAGGAACCCAAGCCACACCCCAGCACUAACAAUGCGUUUAUCUGCUCCUCGCCCCAUCAGCCACGUCUCAGCAUCUUUCAAGAGUCACUACAUCUAUCCACCCCCCUGCCUCAAAUAACAUCCCAGGGCACAGGCGGGGAGCUGAGGCCCCGGGAACGAGCAGGACUUGGGUAAUUUCACACGGAAAAGGAGCUGAGCUGACCCCGAGGCUCAGACACAAAGCUGUCGUGAUUUGGGAUAUUUGGAUUCAGGCUCAUCCUCAGCAGACUGCACCCCACAGCUCCCUCCCUGUGCUGAGUGAGAAGGCCGAGAGGAAGAGGAGAGGGGACGUUUGCUGGCAUCCUUCCCUGCUGCAAAGGUCGGGCGGUGAGGAUGGAAAUCCGGCACUCCAGCUGCUUCCAGGACGUUAUUUGGGCUCCGGCAUCUCACUGCGCUUGACCUCAGCAGCAGAGGCCGGGCAGGGACAGGGGCUGGUUCCUGUGCAAAGACGGAGCGGAGCAACCCGAGCUAUUAAAGCUAAUGGGUGGGAAGUGGCCAUGAAUAAAUCAGCAGCAACUUAGCAGCUAUCAAAGUCUGAAAUCCUCCAGGACAGAGGGUGAAACAGCAGCGAUUUCAACAUGUUAUACGCUUGGUUUUGGAUAGGGGCUUUCGAAGCUGUUACCUACAAACCCAGAAACCUUGUCCGUGUGCACCCUGGGGGCAGUGGUUGGAGCAGGAUUUGGGGGCUGGAUCCAUGCAGGGGUUUGGUGCUCACCCCAUCCUUCCAGCAUCACAUUUGCCAACCACGGCAGCUUCCAAGCAUGGAGCAGGGAGAGAAGACACGGGGAGGAACCGCCAGCAAAAACCUCCCUUUAAACCGAGACGUCCUUCUACCUCAAACCACCCAGACUGGCCUCGGUAAUCCCAAAUCCUGGGUAUUAGGCAUUUAAUCUUGCAUUUCAUCGUGUCCCCUCAUGCCAGGGGUCUGAAAUUAAAAGGGAAGCAGGGAAGGGCUGAGCUUCUGCCGGCUUAAUCGGUUCUUGCUUGUGGAUGACAAGGAAGGAAGGAGGAGAAGGUGGCGGUUCCUUGUUCCUCGGCGUUCCCAGCAGCGAGAGCUGUCGCAGGAGAGGGGGACGAGCAGCGGCAUCAGGGGAGGGAAGGGAAAAGCCGCCCCCCCGGGCAAGGAGGAAGCGGAGCUGUGGCUCAGCGAGCGGCUGCGUGGAGCCGUGCCAGGGGCCCCGGCCGGAGGCCGAGCUUUUGUUUCCAUGAUGCAAGCUGGGGAGAGGGGCCGAGGCAGGACGGGGAAUGGUUCUGGGCUUUGGUGUCUUUGGUGUCUCUGCCUGCCCUGCAGGAAAGCUGGGGCAGCUCUGCCGGACGGGCUGCGAGCAGGGACGGAUCCUGGAGCAGCCGUGGGAUGAACUGGGGAUGGAGACAGAGCGGGGAAGCAUCCGAGCCCCCUCCCCAGGGCCAGGCAGCCCCUGGUCCCUGUCCCCUCUGCUGAAAACCCCAUGCCCUUGCUUUUUCCCUACACCACUGCACCACAGCCCCCGUGCUGCUGUGCAAUGUCCCACAUACAGCCUGAUGUGAGGGGAUCCCCUGCAGCUUGAGAACAUGGGGACCCCCCCCACCUGGCCCCAGGAAGAGAAAAAUCACAGCUUGGGGCAGUCCCGUGGCACAGGGCAGGGGGUACCGAGUGCUGGGGCAGCACCCAGUUCUGGGUGACAGCAGCACAGUGCCCAGUGCAGGUCCCAGCCCCACUCUGCUGCUGCCCCAUGGGACCCACAUAUUGCCCCUGGGAUGGAAGCCCCUCGAUUCUCCCCUCCUCCCCCCCAGCCUGCUGCCCUGGCUCUGCACCCCUCGGUUUUGCUCCAGCACAGAAGUGCAGAUCCAUCCCCACUGAAGCCCUCUUGCUACUCAGCCCUGGGUUCUCGUGAUGCCCGUCACAAACAGAGCUGCUCUGGCUAAUAAAUGCACUUGUUUAAUUAUUGUUGGCAGAAUGAAGAGCUUUUAAUUGCACUCUCCCACCACAGGGUGUAACGAGGGUCUGUGCUUUGACCUCAGCUGAAAUAUCUGUUAGUAACAGGUACGUGCCCUCGAUACGCUAAUUUCUAAAUAAAACCAGGCAGAUCCACAGCUGAUCACAAGGCAAAGCCUGAUUCUAGAAGCUGCAAUCAAGCUUUUUCCUCCUAUUAGGCUUCAACUUCACCCAUAUUUACCAGGAAAAGGCACAGCUCAGGAGGCUCAGAGUGCGCAGCGGCCGCGCUGCUGGGGAAGGUCCCCGGGAUGCUGCAGAACCUCAGCACUGCCAGCCCGCGGGAGCUCGCUCUGCUGUGUGUCAUUACAGAGAAGAUGGAUUUUGGAAGAGCUGCACGCACUUAAAGAAUAAUGCAACCUGCCAGGCACUUAACACAGCCCAAAUAAAUGGAAGCAACAGCGAGAGCUUACCCAGGUAAAACUGCCAGAGCAAGGGGGCUCUGGGGACAGGAGAGGGUUUGCAGAGAGGAGCUGGAAGAGGCUCCUGGCUCUCGGCAGCCCAGGUGUGCCAGCAGAUGCCCAUUUAUCUUGCAUGCUGGAGAAAUAAUGGAAAUGGUGGAAAUUCAGAAUUUAGCAAGGCCACGGUUUGGGUACAGACAUGUAACAGACACACAAGAAGAGGACGUCCUGCUGCUCCCUGCCCCACGCUGAGCACUGGGAGAUGGGGCAAAAAAAGGAGGAAUCAAGAAAGUUUCGUGGAAUGACAUCAGCUACACACACAUCGCACAAACCUCCCCAAAACAGCAGCUCUGCAGCAUCCCAGGGAGAAGGUGCCCACACACAGGAAUGAUGAACAUUUUGCAGCUUAAACCUAUUGUGAGAAUGAGGCUCUGCCUGCUCCCCGCGAGCCACGCCAAGGCACGCUGCUCCACAUGGCAAUCAUUACUGCGUGCGGCAACGGCGCAGCGUGCACCGUGCACACACACAUGCACACACACUCAGCCAUGCAUGCAGGAGCAAGCAAGCAGCUCACAACAUUCCUGCAGCGAGCAUCCGCACGGAGCUCUCCCAGCCCAAUGCGAACGUAGUCUCGCAGCAGCCCGUACUAAAGCACUGGAACAGCCAAAAUUUUCAAGAAUUGUGGCACUUUCCUAGCCCCCCGUCCCUCCUGAGCUCCCGGAGAUGCACUGGGGCCUCAUUCUGCCGCCCCAUGCAGAGCAGCAUCUCUGCUCACUCUGGGUGCAGCGGCGGUGCCGCCAGGCAGCGCUUGCCGGCAGGGUUUGUGCUCUACCAGCGCAGCCAGGAACGCUGUUUGCAAUUAAAGCAGCCCCGCCGUUUCCAUCGUGAGGCCUCGCUCUCAUUGCUGGACCUCAGCGAGCUUCAAAGCCCUUGGCUGGGUUUUCUGGUGCCAGGCGAGUUUUCCCCUUUGUGGGAAAACGCGGCAGCAGUGAGGGGCUGGAUGUGUGCACAGACAUUCAGGAGGUGGAAUAGCACCAGCUACCACAUUUCGCCAACAUUUACCCCAAAAACACCAAGCUUCGUGCGAUCCACACAUGCACACACACACGGACAGCUCUAACCCGGCACACUCGGAGUCCCGAGGUGGUGGCAGCCAAACAGCCUUCGGCAUAAAGGCACCAACAACCGUGACAAAUGCUGGCAGUAAUCCCUCUGGAGAGGAUUACACCGUGCGGAUUUCGGGAAUGGAGAUGUUUUAUGGCCACCUGAACACCGGGCAGGGGGGAGAGGCCCCAGCAGGGCCCCAGACGGACUGAGAAACCCAUCGGGAACAACCAGAAACCUGGGGGGUUUCAUGGGAGCAAAAGGGAUAACUUUAACCUCAGCAACCUGACACUGCUUCCCCCCAGGCAAGUUUUCAAUUAAGAACUGGCUAACGGAAAAUCCUGUGAUAAUUAUGUCAGCGUUGUGGUGGUACGGAAAACACUGUAAUGAGAUUAGGUACGCGCUGGGAUGCUCCGCAGCAGCACGGCCACGAGCACGGCUCGCCCUGCCCCUCUGCACCCCUGAGAAGUAUUUUGGGGCUCAGGAGCCCUCCCGAAAUGCCCUCAUGGGGUGGGUGAGCAUGACGGCUUUUCCCCACUUUAAGCCAGGGCUGGAGGGAAUUAAACGCAGGUCUCUGGCCGCAGCCCCCGGAGGUGGCUUUCUCCAGACCUCCAAUCGUUUUCAGCUUCGUGAUCUCCAUCGGUGAUUUUUCCUGGAGAUAUUUAUGGCUCUUUCUGUGUUGAUUUCCAUGUCCCACUGAAUAUUGCAUGUGCUAUCGCUCCCCAAGGACCGAUAGUCUGAAGAAAGCAGCUUCUUCGCAGGCUUUUCUGGAGCUGCUAAAUGGCACCUCUUCCCUUCCCCAGCAUGAUUAUAUCUGCACAUUUACCACUGAUUAUAUUUGCAGGCACAUUUGAGUGUGAUUAUUAGCUGAAACCUGUCAAGGAGUCAAUCUGAGUGGUAAGAGCAUCUCUGAGGGCUGCAGAGGAAAAACAAAAGCAGCAUCCUCCUGCUGAUGGGGGCACGUGCCCAGGGCCCGCAGGGUGCAUCCACCCCAGUUGCUCGAGCCCUUUGUCCCCAUCCUCCAUGAGCAGGGGAGAUCUCGACCAGACACAAGCAGCUGGAAGCAAGGAUGAGAAGCUAAAAAGAGGGCAAAAAAGUCAAGAAAUGGGGAGCAGAGGCAAUACGUGGGCCCAAAGGGAAGGUGGGAAAACAGUGAGAGCAAUUCCUGGGAAGAGAUGCUCCAGUACAAGAGGGAAAUCCAGCUCUAAGAGUGCUGCUUUCCUCAAUGUGCUGCUUCAUCUUACAAAGCGAUAUGAAAUUUGGGAUGAUUUUCUGCUGAAGAAAUAAAUGAAUAGGCUCAUGAACGCUGGAUUUCUCCCAAGGCAGCAGUGCAAGCUCUUCUGGCAUCUAAACGCUGCAAAAUGGGCUCCCUCCCACCCCUGAGUGGUCCAGGGGGAAUGGACCUUCUGAUUAGCAAAGAUUUCUGACACCACAUUAAGCAGAAAACUUGGAUCAGGUCCCCCCAUGGCUGUGCUGAGAUGAAAAACAAGGAAAAAAAAAAAGGAGGUGCCAUGCGGGAGAGGAACUCACUCACCCUGCUAACAGGCGCUGGAGCAAUUACACACCCGGCUCUAAUAGGCAUGAAAAUAAUUAACACUCUGCCGAAGGCUCAAGUAGUGAUUUUAUGAGUCCUGCUGAACCUGAGCUCCCAGCGGGGUAUUAGUGUAGGGUUUUAUUUUUUUUUUUCAUUCUUUUGGGACUGUUUUAUGACCUCACGUGCAGCUGUUGGUUUUUGGCAUCUCUCGAUGUAGGCUGAGCAGCAGCGGGCGAGAUGGCGAGGAAACAGCUCCAGGACGGCCCCGGUCCCUUCAGCCGCUGAAUUUCCCAUCCGAUGGUUCCCUAAAUUCAGCCAGAACCUGCUCAACAUUGCACGGAGCCUUUCCGGGUUAAUUACACUCUGAGGUCCUGCACAGCCAGGCCUAAAGAAGGAGGAGAUGGGAGAAAAACGCUGCCGUGUUAUUAUGGUGACACAUGAAGUGCUGCUGAAAGCAUCCCGUGUAUCUUGCCAGGGGGAUUCACCGCAUCCAAAAAGCACGCAGAGAUCCUCUGGGAUCCCCGAGAGUUAAGGGGGAAGUCAGCUCUUCCACAGGUCUUACCCCAAGAUGGCUGUGUAAGAGAAGAGGGCAUCACCCAUUUCCAGUGAUGCUCUUUUUUUCCUCCUUGGCUGGUGCAGGAGCUGAGAUGCCCAAGACAAAAUGUUUGGCUUCGGGAGGGCUGGUGCUGGUUGAAACGGAUCGUACUCCUGACAUCGCCCUGCACCUCUCUGGGCCACUCUGGAUCACAUAAAACCCACCCCGUUUGUUUCCUUGUCUUUUGUGAACCGGGGAGACGGGAUGAAGGCAGACAGGCUCAGGCUGUUGCUCUCGUCCUUCUUUGCCUGGAGCAGAGCAGCCGAUGCCCCCCAUUGCAGCCAAGGCAGCCGGGUCUCACCUGCACCCAUCCGGAUGAUGCUCAGCACCCCUGAGGAGCCUCCCACAAGGUGACCGGAUCGGUGUGUCCCCAGCGCACCAAGAGCCCUGCUCGAGGGCGACCGGCAGCCAUCUCUGAGAUGUUUUCCAUUUCCACUCCUGCUCCUCCUCUUGGAACUGGGCAGGAGCACCUCAAGAUGUCCCAAAGUGUUUUGGCUGCUGCCCGGGAGAAGAACAGUGCAGAGGGGGUAACGGGAGGUAAAACUGUCCAUUAUUCACGGAGCAUCUGUGCCACAGCAGGCCUUACCCCACGGGAUCAACAGAAGGCUUUGUUUUCCUUAUCCCUUCCAGUAAUUCAUCAAUUUUACUGCUCAACAAAGCCCCCUCUUUGAAGGGAGGUCUCCUACUUUAAAUCCUGUUUCGGCGGAAGCAGUGGAUGAUCCUAACCAGACGUGUCUGCUGAAAGGGCUGCAGACGCUACCGCGCUGGCUGGAGCCUCUGGAAGAUCAAAGGAGAACUCCCUCCGCUGCAUCGCGCUCCCUGCAAAGACCGGUAACCACCUUCCACCAGCCAGAAGGACUUAAACACGUCCACCCAGCUCUUCCCAUUGCUGAGGCUCGUGCAGAAGCAUCGCGUCCACCUCGCCUGGGUGCUGGAGAGCUCCAAGGGCGGGUGGGUGGCAGUGUCUGCAGAAGCCCCAGCUUCUCACCGCAGGCUCUGCGAUGACCACAGCACCUCCCGCUUGGUGGAGGUGGGCUUUUUAGCACAUUAACAUAUUUCAGGAUAUCGGCACACUACAAUCCUCCUGGUUAUCGCUACAAGCCCUUCUCAGAUGCACGUGGUCCUUUCCUUACAGCUUUGGGGCCAAACCCCCCGUUUUUCUCCCACCACAAAGCCGACUCCGUGGCUCCGCGGCCAGCAGCUCUACAUUCGAGUUUACAAAGAUUUUCCAUUUGUGGUGGAUGUGGAGCUAGGCUGCCAGCUGGAAACACGAUGGCAAGGCAAAACGGUGCUAUCUGCUGCAUCACUCUGGAUGUUUAAUGUAAUUUGAUUGUAAGUAGAUGUAAACAAGCACUGGCUUUAGGGCAGGAGGAAAGCUUCAGCUGCUCUGCUGCGGAGAUAACUCCGUGCAAGAUUU